rnacentral:rRNA from 1 species
GUAAUAUAUAGAUAACGUGCCUCUUAGUCUGGGAUAGCCAUUGGAAACGAUGAUUAAUACCGGAUACUCCUUCUAACUCUAAUGUUAGUCGGGAAAGUUUUUCGCUAAGAGAUCGGUCUAUAUCCCAUCAGUUAGUUGGUAAGGUAACGGCUUACCAAGGCAAUGACGGGUAGCGGGUUUGAGAGGAUGAUCCGCCACACUGGUACUGAGACACGGACCAGACUCCUACGGGAGGCAGCAGUGAGGAAUAUUGCGCAAUGGGGGAAACCCUGAUGCAGCAACGCCGCGUGGAGGAUGACGCAUUUCGGUGUGUAAACUCCUUUUAUGAGUCAAGAAAAUGACGGUAGCUCAUGAAUAAGCACCGGCUAACUCCGUGCCAGCAGCCGCGGUAAUACGGAGGGUGCAAGCGUUACUCGGAAUCACUGGGCGUAAAGGACGCGUAGGCGGGAUGCCAAGUCUGAUGUGAAAUCCUAUGGCUUAACCAUAGAACUGCAUUGGAAACUGGUAACCUAGAGUAUGGGAGGGGGAGAUGGAAUUAGUGGUGUAGGGGUAAAAUCCGUAGAUAUCACUAGGAAUACCGAAAGCGAAGGCGAUCUCCUGGAACAUAACUGACGCUAAGGCGUGAAAGCGUGGGGAGCAAACGGGAUUAGAUACCCCGGUAGUCCACGCCCUAAACGAUGAACACUAGUCGUCGCUCUGCUUGUCAGGGCGGUGAUGCACUUAACAGAUUAAGUGUUCCCGCCUGGGGGAGUACGGUCGCAAGAUUAAAAACUCAAAGGAAUAGACGGGGGACCCGCACAAGUGGUGGGAGCAUGUGGUUUAAUUUCGAAGAUACGCGAAGACCCUUACCUAGCCUCGACAUUGAUAGAAUACCCUAGAGAUAGAGUAGUGCCUUUCGGGGAACUUGAAACAGGUGCUGCACGGCUGUCGUCAGCCUCGUGUCGUGAGAUGUUGGGGUUAAGUCCCGCAACUGAGCGU